rnacentral:rRNA from 1 species
UGGGGAAUAUUGCACAAUGGGGGAAACCCUGAUGCAGCGACGCCGCGUGAGCGAAGAAGGUUUUCGAAUCGUAAAGCUCUGUCCUAUGAGAAGAUAAUGACGUUAUCAUAGGAUGAAGCCCCGGCUAAUUACUUGCCAGCAGCCGCGGUAAUACGUAUGGGGCGAGCGUUGUCCGGAAUCAUUGGGCGUAAAGGGUACGUAGGCGGUAUAUUAAGUCAGGUGUGAAAGCGUGAGGCUUAACCUCAUUAAGCACUUGAAACUGAUAGACUUGAGUGAAGGAGAGGAAAGUGGAAUUCCUAGUGUAGCGGUGAAAUGCGUAGAUAUUAGGAGGAAUACCGGUGGCGAAGGCGACUUUCUGGACUUUUACUGACGCUCAGGUACGAAAGCGUGGGGAGCAAACAGG